rnacentral:rRNA from 1 species
UUUAUAUGAGAGUUUGAUCCUGGCUCAGGAUGAACGCUGGCGGCGUGCCUAAUACAUGCAAGUCGAACGAGUUCUCGUUGAUGAUCGGUGCUUGCACCGAGAUUCAACAUGGAACGAGUGGCGGACGGGUGAGUAACACGUGGGUAACCUGCCCUUAAGUGGGGGAUAACAUUUGGAAACAGAUGCUAAUACCGCAUAGAUCCAAGAACCGCAUGGUUCUUGGCUGAAAGAUGGCGUAAG